rnacentral:tRNA from 1 species
GGGGUUGUAGCUCAGAGAUAGAGCACUCACCUAGCAUGUGUGAGGCCCUGGGUUUGAUCCUCAACACCA